CUCCCUCUCUCUUCCUUCUUCUUCCCCAGCUGCAAAAGCAUCCCAAAUAAUUCUUCCCCGCUUCUCUCCGCGGCACACCCAAACUCCCUCCCUGUCUCUCCCUUAUUCUUCUUCCCCGGCGACGACAACUCUAUUUUGUCGCUUCGACUCCGUCUUCCUCUGCGUCAACUGCGACUCUCAUCACCCUGCGUCUAGCCCCUGCGAGGUCUACGAGCAAACUCCAGGACCGAGAGACCAAGGUGAGCAGGGAGGAUGGCAAGGCUGCUCUCGAACCUAAAGGCUAUGGAGAAUCCGGAUCUAAACUCAGGUCAUAGAAAUGGAUCCAUAUCUGGAUCUAGACUACCAGCAUGUGGAUCCGAUGCUUGAAGAAGUUCAGGAGCAGGACAUCUGCAGCACGGACGCAGUCGGUUUGGUGUGGCGGUCGUGAAGAUGGAGGGGAUAGCGCCCCGACUAAUUAUCCCGAGCUUUUGUGGUGUUUUAAUAGUACGAUGUCAACCGUAUAAAAUUUGAUAGACCGGAUAAUUAAGCGGGUGCUUAGUUAGUACUAUAGUGCACCAAACAAGUGCUCCCGUAUUAUUUAUCCUAUCCGAUGCUUUAUACGGCGUGCCAAACGAGGCC
rnacentral:lncRNA from 1 species